rnacentral:rRNA from 1 species
AUUGAACGCUGGCGGCAUGCCUUACACAUGCAAGUCGAACGGCAGCACGGGAGCAAUCCUGGUGGCGAGUGGCGAACGGGUGAGUAAUAUAUCGGAACGUGCCCAGUAGUGGGGGAUAACUGCUCGAAAGAGCGGCUAAUACCGCAUACGACCUGAGGGUGAAAGGGGGGGAUCGCAAGACCUCUCGCUAUUGGAGCGGCCGAUAUCAGAUUAGCUAGUUGGUGGGGUAAAGGCCUACCAAGGCAACGAUCUGUAGCUGGUCUGAGAGGACGACCAGCCACCCUGGGACUGAGACGCGGCCCAGACUCCUACGGGAGGCAGCAGUGGGGAAUUUUGGACAAUGGGCGCAAGCCUGAUCCAGCAAUGCCGCGUGCAGGAAGAAGGCCUUCGGGUUGUAAACUGCUUUUGUCAGGGAAGAAAUCCUCUAGGUUAAUACCCUUGGGGGGAUGACGGUACCUGAAGAAUAAGCACCGGCUAACUACGUGCCAGCCGCCGCCGUAACAC